rnacentral:ncRNA from 1 species
AAGCCUACAUGAACGAUAGUAGGACGCCUUAAACUCAGCAUAAACCUCCACAGUGUACUUUCGUUACGGCUCAGGAUUUGGGAAGUCGUUACCUGUAUC